CGUAGGUAACCUGCCUUGUAGCGGGGGAUAACUAUUGGAAACGAUAGCUAAUACCGCAUAACAAUGGAUGACACAUGCCAUUUAUUUGAAAGGGGCAAUUGCUCCACUACAAGAUGGACCUGCGUUGUAUUAGCUAGUAGGUGAGGUAACGGCUCACCUAGGCGACGAUACAUAGCCGACCUGAGAGGGUGAUCGGCCACACUGGGACUGAGACACGGCCCAG
rnacentral:rRNA from 1 species